rnacentral:rRNA from 1 species
ACGCUCGACACCUACGGAGGCAGCAGUCGGGAAUAUUGCGCAAUGGAGGAAACUCUGACGCAGUGACGCCGCGUGCAGGAAGAAGGUUUUCGGAUUGUAAACUGCUUUAGACAGGGAAGAAAAAGGACAGUACCUGUAGAAUAAGCUCCGGCUAACUACGUCACAGACGACGCCGGUAGUAUGNGNGGCGGNGNGACGACG